GACGGAGGAUGCAAGUGUUAUCCGGAAUCACUGGGCGUAAAGCGUCUGUAGGUGGUUUAAUAAGUCAACUGUUAAAUCUUGAGGCUCAACCUCAAAAUCGCAGUCGAAACUAUUAGGCUAGAGUAUAGUAGGGGUAAAGGGAAUUUCCAGUGGAGCGGUGAAAUGCGUAGAUAUCGCUUGGAACGCCAACGGAGAAAUCAGCAGGCUGGGGAUGUGCUGACGCUGAGACGUGAAAGCCAGGGGAGCAAACGGG
rnacentral:rRNA from 1 species